rnacentral:RNase_P_RNA from 1 species
CGAGUUGGCUGGGCGGCCGCGGCUCGCACCGGUUCGAGAGAUCCGGCGUCGAGUCGAGGAAAGUCCGGACUUCACAGAGCAGGGUGAUUGCUAACGGCAAUCCGAGGUGACUCGCGGGAAAGUGCCACAGAAAGCAGACCGCCACCCACGCGGUGGUAAGGGUGAAACGGUGCGGUAAGAGCGCACCAGCAUCCCGGGUGACCGGGAUGGCUAGGCAAACCCCACCCGAAGCAAGGUCAAGAAGGUUGCACCGGAAGGUGCGGCCGCGCAGGCGUUCGAGGGUUGCUCGCCCGAUGCCUGCGGGUGGACCGCUCGAGGCACCCGGCAACGGUGUGCCCAGAUGGAUGGUCGCCGCCUUGCCGCCGUUGCUACGCCGCGGCGGUGAGGAACAGAAUCCGGCUUACAGGCCAACUCGUCCC